rnacentral:rRNA from 1 species
UACGUAGGGAGCAAGCGUUGUCCGGAAUCAUUGGGCGUAAAGCGCGCGUAGGUGGCUCUAUAAGUCCGUUGUGAAAGUCAAAGGCUCAACCUUUGAAAGCCGAUGGAUACUGUAGAGCUAGAGUCCGGAAGAGGCGAGUGGAAUUCCUGGUGUAGCGGUGGAAUGCGCAGAUAUCAGGAGGAACACCAGUAGCGAAGGCAGCUCGCUGGGACGGUACUGACGCUGAGGCGCGAAAGCGUGGGGAGCGAACAGG